AGAGUUUGAUCAUGGCUCAGAAUGAACGUUGGCGGCGUGGAUUAGGCAUGCAAGUCGUACGGGCCGCAAGGCCAGUGGCGCAAGGGUGAGUAAGGCGACGGUAACCAACCCCAUGAUUGGGCAUAGCCGCGGGAAACUGCGGGUAAUACCCAGCGAUGUCGGCCGAGGGCAUCUCCGGCCGACCAAAGCUCCGGCGUCGU
rnacentral:rRNA from 1 species